rnacentral:rRNA from 1 species
UUAGUAGCGGCGAGCGAAGCGGGAAGAGCCCAAUAUGAAAAGCCAGCUUGCUGGCGUUGUAGUUGAGCGUCUUUGGGGUGUCAGUUCGGGAAAGUGGCAUGAAAGUGCUCACCGUGGAGGGUGAAAGUCCCGUCCAUCCCGUUCAGGACACCUCGCACAAAGGCGUUUCAGACGAGUCGGGUAGCUUGGGAAUGCUGCUCUAAUUGGUGGUAAAUCUCAUCAAAGGCUAAAUACUGGUGGGAGACCGAUAGCGAACAAGUACCGUGAGGGAAAGAUGAAAAGUACUUUGAAAAGAGGGUAAAAAGAACCUGAAACCGUUACGGGGGAAGCGGAUUGCGUUGGCCUGGUGGCUACCUGUGUGUUCAGCCUUUUAUGGUGCAUUGAUACAGGUGGUUAUUCGUUGUGGCUUUUCGGUGACUGAUUUUGAGUUGCUGGAGGGUGAGGGCUCCCCUUUUUUUUUUUUUGGGUGAGGACGACGAAGUGACGACGCGAUACGACCCGUCUUGAAACACGGACCAAGGAGUCUAGCGCAGGUGCGAGUCAAAGGGUGUUAAAACCUGUGGGCGCAGUGAAAGCGAAUUUUUUUUUUGUAAAAACGAGCAGUUUGGGGCGGCAUAGAAUCGUUGAUUCUAGGUCCGACCUUGAGCAGUUGCGCUGGGACCCGAAAGAUGGUGAACUAUGCCGGAGUAGGGCGAAGCCAGAGGAAACUCUGGUGGAGGCUCGUAGCGGUGCUGACGUGCAAAUCGCUCGUCGAACUUGGGUAUAGGGGCGAAAGACUAAUCGAACCAUCUAGUAGCUGGUUUCCUCCGAAGUUUCUCUCAGGAUAGCAGGCCGACACUUUUACGUUGUUUUGUGCGGUAAAGCGAAUGAUUAGCGCAUUCGGGGGCGUUUAGCCUUUGGGCGAUUCUCAAACUUUAAAUGCGCAAGGGUACCGGUGCUUUGUUGAGCGGUACCGUUAAAAACGUCGGCCUUGUGGGCCACUUUUGGUAAGCAGAACUGGCGAUACGGGAUGAACCGUAAGCAUGGUUAAGGUGCCAAACUGCCCGCUUAUAGAUCCCACAAAAGGUGUUGAUUCAUCGAGACAGCAGGACGGUGGCCAUGGAAGUCGGAAUCCGCUAAGGAGUGUGUAACAACUCACCUGCCGAAUGAAUCAGCCCUGAAAAUGGAUGGCGCUUAAGCGGGCGACCGACACCAUGCCGUCUGUACAAGAUGAAUGUUUUACAGAUGAGUAGGAGGACGUGGCGGUUGUGUCGAAGCAUGCGUGCAAACGCGUGUGGAACAGCCGCUAGUGCAGAUCUUGGUGGUAGUAGCAAAUAUUCAAGCGAGAUCCUUGAAGGGCGAAGCGGGGAAGGGUUCCACGCGAACAUUGAUUGGGCGUGGGUGAGUCGUUCCUAAGCCGAGUGGCAAUUGCUAAGUAGCGGCGAAAGGGAAGCAGGUUGACAUUCCUGCACACGGAUGUGGAGGCGGUGACGCUUUAAUGAGGGCGAAGACGCUGGCGAUGGCGCUGGGCAGAGAUUUCUUUUCUGUUUGACCGCUGAAGCGCGCGGUGUGGAAUCCGCUUGUCGGGAGAAACACGCGCGUUCGGGCAGAGCGCCGGGGCUAUUCCGGCGUCCAGCUCGCCAUCGACGGCCCUUGAAAAUUUGCCUGCUGGAAUAGUUUUUUUUAUAUUCUAUGAAGAUCCACGCCGUGGCGUACCGAUAACCGCAUCAGGUCCCCAAGGUGAACAGCCUCUGCUCUAUAUGAAUAAUGCAGGUAAGGGAAGUCGGCAAAUUGGACCCGUAACUUUGGGAAAAGGGUUGGCUCUAGUGCUGCGUGGGAGUAGUUGUCGGGUGUGGGCGUUUCUGGACUUGCUGAGCGAGCGGGAGGAGGCUUCCUUUGGGAUGUCCACUUUGUGUUCAAUUGGCGAGUCUGCAUCCGCCUCGCUCGACGACGCCCACAGCAUGCAGCAGACUAGAACUGCAACGGGCAAAGGGAAUCCGACUGUUUAAUUAAAACAAAGCAUGCGA